AUACUCGGUAGAUUUUUUAACCCAUUUGUCACAAAAAUAAAUAAUAUGCUAUCCGUUUUAUUUAUUUUAUUUAAAAAUAAAUUUAGUUAAAAAUAUAAAUUAAUUAGGACUCGAAUUUAGGACUUUGAAUAUCGAUCAUCAAAAUUUUUACUAUUUGCGCUAGAGACGGUCGGUGAUGAUGCACAAGUUAUUCUCAAUUUGAUUGCAACUCUGAAAUAGUCAAUUUUCAGUUGUAUUUGUACUGAAAAAAACAAAAUCGCAACAAACCAAAAACGAAACAUUACGCUUGUGUUUAUGUUUAUGGUACGUCGGUAUUUUAAAUUUUAACUGU
rnacentral:lncRNA from 1 species